AUCCUUCCGUUGUUUGUAAAUGUGAUGACUGCAUUUUCAUGUUCACCUAUGAGAUAUGCCUCCCUCAAACACUGUUACAAUUCCAGCACAUUAACCCUCUGAUA